AGGGAUUGCCCCAGUAACGGCGAGUGAAGCGGCAACAGCUCAAAUUUGAAAUCUGGCCCCCGGGUCCGAGUUGUAAUUUGCAGAGGAUGCUUUGGGCGAGGUUCCUUCCGAGUUCCCUGGAACGGGACGCCACAGAGGGUGAGAGCCCCGUCUGGUCGGACACCGAGCCCGUGUAAAGCUCCUUCGACGAGUCGAGUAGUUUGGGAAUGCUGCUCAAAAUGGGAGGUAUAUGUCUUCUAAAGCUAAAUAUUGGCCAGAGACCGAUAGCGCACAAGUAGAGUGAUCGAAAGAUGAAAAGCACUUUGAAAAGAGGGUUAAAAAGUACGUGAAAUUGUUGAAAGGGAAGCGCCUAUGACCAGACUUGCGCCCGGUGAAUCAUCCAGCGUUCUCGCUGGUGCACUUCGCCGGGCACAGGCCAGCAUCAGUUUGGCGCGGGGGACAAAGGCUUCGGGAACGUGGCUCCCUCGGGAGUGUUAUAGCCCGCUGCGUAAUACCCUGCGCCGGACUGAGGUACGCGCAUCGCAAGGAUGCUGGCGUAAUGGUCAUCAGCGACCCGUCUUGAAACACGGACCAAGGAGUCGUCUUCGUAUGCGAGUGUUCGGGUGUUAAACCCCUACGCGGAAUGAAAGUGAACGUAGGUGAGAGCUUCGGCGCAUCAUCGACCGAUCCUGAUGUUCUCGGAUGGAUUUGAGUAAGAGCAUACGGGGCCGGACCCGAAAGAAGGUGAACUAUGCCUGUAUAGGGUGAAGCCAGAGGAAACUCUGGUGGAGGCUCGCAGCGGUUCUGACGUGCGAAUCGAUCGUCAAAUAUGGGCAUGGGGGCGAAAGACUAAUCG
rnacentral:rRNA from 1 species